rnacentral:rRNA from 1 species
UUGUUUAAAUAAAAGAUCUGGCCUGCCCAAUGAUUUUUUAAUGGCUGCAGUAUAUUGACUGUACAAAGGUAGCAUAAUCAUUUGUCCUUUAAUUGAGGUCUGGAAUGAAUGGUUGGAUGAGAAGUAAACUUUCUUUAUUUUAUAAAUAAAAUUUAAUUUCUUAAUCAAAAAGUUAAGAUUUUGAUAUAGGACGAGAAGACCCUAUAGAACUUUAUUUCCUCUAAGAUAAUUAUUUACUUGUAAAUAAUUAUUUAUUACCUUAGAGGAAAUUUUGUUGGGGUGACAAAAAAAAUUUAAUAACUUUUUUUAUAUUUAUUAUUUAUAUAUAAUUUUUUGAUCCUUUAGUAGGGAUAAUAAGAUUAAGUUACCUUAGGGAUAACAGCGUUAUUAUUUUAGAGAGUUCAUAUUGAUAAAAUAGUUUGCGACCUCGAUGUUGGAUUAAAAUUAGUUUCAGGGGCAGAAUAUUGAUUUACUAGGUCUGUUCGACCUUUAAAUUUU